rnacentral:rRNA from 1 species
GAUGAACGCUGGCGGCGUGCCUAAUACAUGCAAGUCGAGCCAACAGACGAGGAGCUUGCUCCUCUGACGUUAGCGGCGGACGGGUGAGUAACACGUGGAUAACCUACUUAUAAGACUGGGAUAACUUCGGGAAACCGGAGAUAAUACCGGAUAAUAUAUUGAACCGCAUGGUUCAAUAGUGAAAGACGGUUUUGCUGUCACUUAUAGAUGGAUCCGCGCCGCAUUAGCUAGUUGGUAAGGUAACGGCUUACCAAGGCAACGAUGCGUAGCCGACCUGAGAGGGUGAUCGGCCACACUGGAACUGAGACACGGUCCAGACUCCUACGGGAGGCAGCAGUAGGGAAUCUUCCGCAAUGGGCGAAAGCCUGACGGAGCAACGCCGCGUGAGUGAUGAAGGUCUUCGGAUCGUAAAACUCUGUUAUUAGGGAAGAACAAAUGUGUAAGUAACUAUGCACGUCUUGACGGUACCUAAUCAGAAAGCCACGGCUAACUACGUG